rnacentral:rRNA from 1 species
ACUGAAUAGAUACCCUGGUAGUCCACGCCCUAAACGAUGUCUACUAGUUGGUCGGGUUUUAAUUAACGUUGGUAAACGCAGCUAAACGCGUGAAAGUAGACCGCCGUGGGGAGUACGGUCGCAAGAAUUAAACUCAAAGGAAUUGACGGGGACCCGCAACAAGCGGUGGAUGAUGUGGAUUAAUUCGAUGCAACGCGAAAAACCUUACCUACCUUGACAUGUACGGAAGCCACGAGAGAUCGAGGUGUGCUCGAAAGAGAGCCGUAACACAGGUGCUGCACGGCUGUCGUCAGCUCGUGUCGUGAGAU